UAGGAUUACAGCUGUGAGCCACUGGGCCCAGCACAAAAGGACUGUUAAGAUAUUUAAUAUUAAAAUUUAAAGGUGUUUAUUACCUAGAGUUGUGGUAUAGACACUAUGGCCCCUGGCUGCCUCUUAGUCCCCACCAGUGCUCCAACACUUGAAGAAAGACUGGUCUAUACUCAAAUGUCUGAUCGGUGAUAUCUGGGGCCAAUAAAAAAGAGAAAGACUCAUCUGGGUCAUGUUGGAGCAGAAAACUAAGAACAGCUGCAUGAGACGAGAUGUGAAUGAGAUAGAGAAUUUACAGGGGCAGCAAAUUAAAACCACAAGUGCUCUUGAGAAUUUAAGACCCCAGGAAUUCACAAACAUCCUGAGGAGGGCAUUGUACUUUUUCAGGAAAGGGAGUUCUUCUCAACUAUAUGUAAAUAUCAAAGAAUGGGUACCUCUGCUGGCAUCUGAGUUACUUAACAUUCAAAUGACUGUGAAGGUAGGCCCAGACGUCUCAAGAAUCCACAUACUGCUUCAUAUGUGGAGAGCAUAUGAGCCAUUCAUUCAUUAUUCAGUAAGUAUAGAGCCACUUCUACAUACCAGACUUAGCAAGAUAUGAUGGCAAACAAGACGGCCACCGUCCCUGACUUCAUGGAGUUUACAUUAGUGAGGGGGGAGUAGGGAGAAAAGUGGGGAGAGAUGAUAAACAUUUAAAUACAUUUAAUCAUUUAAAUAAUGAUAGUUUUUAUGCAAUAUUAAAAAUUGGAUGAUAUAAUGAAAAAUACCAAGGUGGGUCAUUUUAGGUAGGGAAGUCAGUGAGGUCUCCUGAGGAAGUGACUUUUAAGGCCUGAAGACUUAGGAAGAAUCCUCCACACAGCAAGCAAAGGGAAAAACACUCCGGGCAGAAGCUGUAGCAGGCACAAAGGCCCUGAGGCAGAAAGAGACUGGAAAAUCUCUGGAAUCCAUGGAAGACCAAUGACUAAAACUUCAUGAGAAGGUUGGGAAGGGUCAUGAGAUGAGGUUUAAGGGUUAGACCAUGGCCAGUAAAGGCUCUGAAGGGCAAGAAAUGGAGUUUGGAUGUCCUUUUAAGCCUGAUGGGAAAACUAAAGACUAAAGAAGACUAAAGACAUCAGAUUAUGUCAUUGGUUUGCUUAAAACGAUGCUGUAACAGAACUGGUUGGCAAGGAGCAAGAGUGGAAGAAACAAGACAAAAAGAAAGGCUAUUUCAGACAUUCAGGUGAGGUGACCAGCAUGACAGCCAUAAAGAUGAAGGGCGUGGGUAGCUGGCAGUGUAUAAUCAGACUCGCUGAUGGAACAGAUGUGGGACUUGAAGAAAAUUAAGGGAAUCUUCUGUUCAACAAAUAAAUAUUGAGUGCCUACUACGUGUUAGUCACUGUUCCAGUUGUUGGGGAUGUAUCAACAGUGAAUACUAACAAAGAUCUCUUCCCGGUGGCACUUGCAUUCAUCAGGGAUUAUUGGUUUAAGCAACUAACUGGGUAGAAUUGGAAUGCCUUUUCCUUGGAUGAGGAAGAGUGAGGAAGAAACAUGGCUCAAGGACAUCAAAAGUUCCAUUUUGGCUAUUUGAAAAUACCUGUGAGCCAUCCAGCGGAGAAUUCUAGUGGCAGAUGAGUCUGAAUCUCAGAAGAGGAGUUUGAGGAUUACUUAUGAAUUGAGAAAUGAUCAACAUAUACAUAAUGUUCUAAGAUUUCUAAACCCAUGAGAAUGGAUGAGACAUAUCUGGCCCCUGAUUGAGUGCAAAAAAAAGAAAAUAAGGCUCUGAGCUAAACAGUGAGCAGCUCCAGUUUUUAGGCGCUGGAUAGAAGUGGGUCUACUGUCAAAGGAGCUGGAGAGAGGGUGAUAGUGAGUGGGAAGAAAACCAGGAGACAGUGAAGCCAUGGAAGCUAUGAGAGGGAAAGGUUGAAAGAAGGAAAGGGUGGCCAGUUUCACUGACAGCCAGUGCCAUGUCAAGCACUAUGAAGACAGAAAGAAUUCCCUGGAUUGUCAGUAUGGAGAUGGUUGGAGGUCUUGACUAGAAAAAUUUCAGCAGAGCAAAGGGAAUGGAAGCUGGUUUGGAUUGUGCUGUGGAGUGAACAGGAGUGAGAAGGUGGAGACAGUGUGCUCACAAUCCUUCUAAGAGGCCUUGAGAAAUGGGAUAGUGGUUGGAGGGCACUGUGGGGUCAGGAGAGGGUCUUUAUUUCUGUUUUGCUGUUUUCCUAAAUGGGAACUAAUAAAGUAUGUUUGCAUUUGAUGUUGGGAAUGAUUCAGUCCAGAGGGAAGCACUGAAAAUGAAAAAGGAGAAGGUAUAACUAGGGAGACAGCAUGAAGGACUGAGACUUGAGCCCAAGCAGAGGUUGCCUUUGGGGGCACCUCCUGCUCUGGUGGGAGGAAGAAGAAGAUAGGCAAAUGUAGGUCUUACCACAUUUGUCUUACUGAGGAAGCAAGAUUUCUUUCUGCCACUGCCAGGCUUCAAUGUUAACUGAACUCAGCACGGCCAGGUUGCUCUGUCCUUGCUGAUGUUAUUGACCAAGAGACUGAUGAGAAGGGAAUGAGAGGGUUUGAGCUGUAAACAGAAGCCACAGCCAAGAAGGAGAGUUCAGGUCUCUCCAUUUAACUCCCCCAUCGUGUUCUGAUCCAGGAGAAGAUUUUGGUCAUUUUCAAUUCAGUCGUUUAGACUUUCACGGAGUGGUCCAGAGGGCCCUCGGGCUCAGAGGACAAUGAGGCUUGAGGAUGGCAUGUAUCUACAACUGUGGAUGGACUGACACCCUGGACUGGCCAAGCCCAGGUCGUCUGGGCUGAGGUAUCAUUUAGCUAGCAAGCAGUUUUUUGUGGUAGGAGAAAUUGAAGACUUCCUCCAUAAGUCUCUCUGGGGAAGGGAGAAAUUGACGACGGUCAAGCGGCUCUUAAAGGACAUCCUAUAACUUCUGAGAACAGAAUUGGAUAAGGGUAGGGUUCUACCAAGAGAGUCAGGAAUAGCAAGAGAAGGGAAAGUAGAGAAUGGGACUCGGGGUGGGCAAGGAUUCUUAGAUAUAAGGUUUUAAUGGGAGGUCCUACUUGUGAUUCAGUGUUCCCAGCAGAGGAGAUGGAAGGAAAUUAUAGCUUGUGUACCUGAAGGGCCGGAGUUGAACUAGGAUUUUAUGCAUAUGAUCUUACUUAAGCCUCACAGCAAUCCUGUGAGGUAGUUUUCUCCCCUCUUUAAUUUUACAGGUAGGCAAAUUGAGGCUCAGAAAGUUAAUAUGUUUAAAACUACAUAACUAGUAAAUAGCAGAUACAGAAUUUUAGCCUGGAUCUACCUGACUCCAAAUCCUAUGCAUUUGCCAGAAUGGUGUUCUCCCUUCCUGGGCCUCCAGUGAGUGGUAACAGGUGCCUUUGCUGCCUCUUCAAGGGAUUUGUAAUACCAUCUUUUCUUCCCUAGACUGUUGUGUGAUAGCAUUCCAAAGACUUUCUUCAGUGGGCUCCACAGAAGUCCUUGAGUUUGAGGGGCUUCAGGAAGGAAGAGAACAGAAUCUCAUAGGGAAGACUCCUCUAUGAAAAACAGACCCCUUUCUCCUUAUUUGUCUGCUUUCCCCCAUCAAUUCAACAUCCUCUCCCUCCCCAACUUUGCCAUAUUGGGCUGGGAGGCUUUAGAACCAUACUUCCACCCAGCUGGGUUAAAGCCCUCACAGGAGCCACUGAGCCAAACCAAACUUCAUGUACAUUACCCAUGCAGAGCACAUCCUCCAGUGUUUACAUGUUGAAUAGUUUAUGAUUUGCUCUACAUCUGAUCAGGCAGAGUCAACUACCAAAACUGCUGAUCCGUGGAAACUUCACAGCCUUUCCGGGCAUAAUAACGGCUACAGCUACAGCUUAUUCAAAGAGAGAAAUAGCCUUUGAUGAGCUGUGCAAGGACAAAUUAAGACGUGACUCUCACCCAGCAUCUAGAUAGUAUCCUGAUGUUCCAGGCUUUACCCAAAAAGAAAUGGUUCUAGGGGAGCUGGGAGGCUUUGACCACACUCUCCUAAUAGCAGUGGAAGGACCAGGACCUAAAGAUGACCAUACCACCAAGGACUUCAGAGCAUCAGAAGCAAAACAGCAUGUUGCUAAGGCAAUUCUUUCUGUCAUCUCUGCUCUUCCAACCUGUGGCAAAGUCAGAUAACUGUCCCUAAGUUCCCAUUAUCUACUUCUUUAGUAAUAGAAACCCUAAUUUUUAGCUGGCAAUGUGGGGGGCGGAUUCUGGUUGGCUGAAAUAAACUCUAUAUUUCUCAGCCUCUUCUGGUUGGAUGGGGUCAUGUAUCUAAGUUCUAGACAAUGAGAUGAAAGUAGAACUGCCAUGUAAAAUUUCUGAGAAAUAGCCUUAAGAGGUAUUAAAUCAAGGUUAGCCUAAAGGUACCUCCUUACAUAUUUUAAGUUCAGCCUAAAAGUUUCUCUGUACAUCGUGAACUGUAAUCUAAACAAAGUUGUAAACAGAAUGUAACCUACUCUUGUGCCAAUCACCAAGUUUUGGUCAAUCAAAGGUGGCCAGCUGUUCAAACCAUGUUCAAAUAAGGCAAACUCUGAGCGGUAACCAAUCUGGCUGUUUCUGUACUUCUGUUUUCUGUAUAUCACUUUCCUUUUUCUGUCCAUAAGUCUUCUCCUACCAUGUGGCUGCACUGCAGUGGAGUCUCUGAGCCUACUCCGGCUCAGGAGUCUGCCAAAUUCAGAAAUUGUUCUUUGCUCAAUUAAAUUCUUUUAAAUUUAAUUUGACUAAAGUUUUUCUUUUAACAAGGGAGAGGUGUAUACUUCGUUCUUCUUUCCUGCUGGCUGGAAUGUGGAAGUGAUGACUGGAGCUUGAGCAACUACCUUGAACAGUGAGGUGGAAACUAUUAUUCAGAAUAGAUGGAAAAUACUAUUAUUCAGAUACAGGGAGCCUGGAUCCUUAGAGAUUGUAGCAUAAUAAUUGCAGCCUGAACUGCCACUAUAAGUCAUAUCUUUUGGCACUCACUGUCAACCCUAAUCUAUCUUAUAAAAAACCUCUACCUUAGGCACCUCCACAUGUCCCUAAUGACCCCUGGAAAGCCACAUCUCACUAAAACAUCCUUACCAAAACAGGGAGAGGCAACAACCUUUGCAUUGUGAGGAGCAGUGAUUUCAGGCACUGAGAAGCUGUGCUGCUUCUAUACCAUUAUCAGCUGGCAUGGGAAAGCCCAUGCAAUCCCAUUUCUCCAGCUCAAUGAUGUUCAGGUUUCUACUGUGUGUAGUUCUUUGGUCAAACUUUACAUGGACAUUUCCCAAGGCCUGCAGGACGUCUCAACCAGCUCCUCCAACUUGACUCAUCUAAACCCAAAUUUCUUCUUCUCUCUCAGAAUAGCCCUUAGGCCAAGGGAAGAGGAGCUCCUGCCCUGGGCCUGAAGCUUGAGGGAGCAUCCCCACCGCAAAGCCAACAUCCUCCUUUUGAGACCACAUUCCAGGUACCCAAGACCCCAGAAUUCCCUGUCCUGGUAGCCUCAGGCCCACUUCCAGGUCUGGUCACUCUGAGGACAGGGUGGCCAGGAUCAGCUCUCUUCAGGGAAUGUGGGUGGAGUUUGGCUGUGAAGGCUGGGAAGUGCACACUUGUCCUUGCAAAGCCCUCACCAUGUGGGGCAAAGCCAGGUCAGAAAGAAAAGGGGGUUGUGCAGCAAGGUGGGGCCAAAGACUAGGGGCUGGUUCUCACUGUCUCUAUGUUCUGGCAUAAAACUCUGAGGAGUGCCAGAAAUUAAAAUUUCCGUCUGGAUCUCAAGGACAUUGUGAAGGUAUAUUUGUCAAAGUAGGAGAAUAGGACAUGUUUUAUUUAACAGUUGGUUGGCUUAAUGUAUAACUUUAAAAUAUUUAGAUGUAUGGUAUGUGGGCCUCUGUUUGAACUUCUACCCAGGGCCAAGGUGUCUAUGUGACACUUCCUGGGACAAAAGGGCCUGUUUGCCCCAUGGAGGGUGUCAGGAAUGCCAACUGAGCUUGCGGGGGGAGAUGACUAGCCAGGUACUCUGAGAGAGACAGUGCUGGAGCACAGACCAAAAGGAAGUCAGGAAACAGCUUCUGCUAGAAGUGAGGAGUGGAAAGAGCAAAUCAGGUGAGACAACUGGGCUGUAAAGAGAGUGGAGCAGGAGACGCCAGAUGCAGAAAUUCCAUGCUGGAGGCAUGGGAUGAAGAAGAGCCUCUGGUCACAGAACCUGAAGCCAGGGAUCAGCAAGGCUGGAAAUAGCGCAGAUACCAGAAGUACAGGAUCCUGCUUGUCACACCCUUGUUCCUUAUUGCUCUGUGUUUGCAUCUUGUCAAACUCAAUCUAUAUGGCUCAACAGCUGUCCAGUGCCCAUAGGAUAAAGGGGAGGAAUAACCCCAGCAUUCCAUGAUCCCCCUGCUAGUGGGUAGGGGGUAGCAGUGGGAUCCAGGUAGCAGUUUUAUCAUAGGCAGGUAAUGACAUUAUGCAUCAAGAUCAUCUUCCUGAUUUAGCACCCUGGGGAAAGGAGAUGGGAAGAACUUGGAAGAGUAUCAGAGCCUGCCCCAGUCAAAGACACUAAGGAUCAGGAAAGGGUUCCAGCCCAGGAAGUCAACCAAGGCAGAAUGUCAGUUGUGUGGACUUUGCCAAGGUAGCAGGGAGAGGGAGAAGGCCAAGGAUAAAUGUCAGAUGUAGAGCAAUGCCAGUUCUAAGUAGAACUAUGGCCAUAGCAAUUUCUCAUCAUCUGUGUCUAUUUUUGCUGGUAGAAUGGUUGGAUGAUUGGAUGGUACUCAUGCAAUGCUAGUUUAAAAUAUCUUUUAAUGUCACCCUUGGUUGCCAGUCCAUUCUCUUCUCGGGUCAUGGCUUGCUUUUGAAGUUGGACAGAGAGGAGUAGUAGACCUGAAAACUAGAGGCCUCAGGGUUUCCAGUAACAGCUGAGGAAUCUGCAGGACCUAGGGAAACUGGCCACUGGAUGCCUCCCAUUCCAGACCAUGCCCCAGUAGCCAAGACCCUGGAAGUCUCUGCCCAAAUGGUCCUGAGCCAAUUUUCAGUUCUUGCAUGAGCCUCUGCACAGGUCUGUCCUUCUGAGUGUGGACCAGGCUCCCCCAAUGUACUCCUCAACCUGAUCGGUGGCCAAAACAACAGAUAUUUGUGGGGAGUGUGGAUGGAGCUUGGACACGGAGACAGGGGUGUCCACACAUAAGAUCUUGAUGCCCUCAUACUGUGGGAUGGAAAAGAAAGGCCUGCCAUAUACUGGAAAGGGACUCUGAGAAGUCUGAGGAGUUCUAAAUUCAAAACUAGCCUUCAAGGUCAGCGUGAAGUGUAUUUGUCAAGAUAUGAGAAUAUAAUAUAUUUUAUUUAAGUGCUCUGUUAGAUUCCUUGAUCCUUUUAAAUAUUUAGAUAUCAGGCAUAUGGAUUUUCAUUUGUCCUCUGGCUCCUACAACUAUUAGGGGUGUGUAGGUAAGGAGCACAGGGAUCGUUCUGGCAGAGGUGCAUCUUGCAGGCAUAGCAAUGGGGAUUUCAGUCCUGAUCUAAAGAGUCAAUGCCACGCAUGCUAGAAAGGCUUUCCACAGCAUGGUCAGAGGCCAGCCAUCAGGAGGGUCCAGGCCCCUUCUUAACAGUCAGCACCAAGACCUGGAUGGCUUUGCAUUGACAGCAUUUCAGACUGGGUUCUCUUCUCUCCAGUAAGCACUGCCACUACGACUUUCCUCCUACAGUACUGUGUAUAGCUGAAAUAGUAUCAUUAAAAAUAUUUAAAAGCAAGGUCUCUAUGGGCCAGACAGUACCUGAUGCUGACAUGUGUAAACAAAGGAUUUACUUUAUGUAUCAUCACAUCUACCCUGUGAGGGUAGGCAGGGAAGGCUUCAUCAUUUCCAUUAGCAGAUGAGAAAACGAAGGCUUAGUGAGGUUAAAGAACUCCAAGAUCUCCCAGUAAGGAGAAGGAAGGAUCUAAACAAGAAGCUAGGCCUUUUAACUCCAGUUUAGUACCCUUUCCACUCCACAUAGUCCCAUUUAACUCAGAAACAGAAAUGCCAUAAGAAAUCUCCAGCAUUUAUUUCCUGAAAGAGUUUAUGAACUGCAUUUGGUCAAAGGUUAGCACGUCUAUUUAUGAAGCUUCUUUAGUUCUGGUUGGUUAAUGACAUUUAAUCGCACGUACCUUGCAGUGGGCCAGGAUAAUGGAGAGAGAUGCGCAGGGGUCAACUAACAACAUGCAAUUUGAUAAAAUUCCAAGGCUUUUAUGGAGCACAACUGAUCCAUUAUAUAAGAUUUCAUAAGCCAAAGGUAAAAUUAAAGUGAGAGAAACUGCCUAAAAAUGUCAGGUAGGUGUACUGGACCAUGCAGUUACUUUUUUCUCAAGCAGUUUCAGAAACCGAUAACUUAGCAAGAUUGAAAACUUUAUGUGUGAAUGUUGGAUGUAUAAAAUAAACCAAUCCCCAAAACGUACUGAUUAAAACAAUCAUUGAUUGGCUCAUGAUUCUGUAAGUUGGCCCUUUGGGCAGUUCUGCUGGUCUGACCCAGGCUUACUCAUGUGGUUGCAAUCCGCUUGUGGGUGGGAUGGGUGGCCGUGGCCUGCUUCCACAUCUUCUUUUCCUCUAAAAGGCUAGUUCAAGCUUGCUUACAUAGUUUCUAAGCAACAAUUCUGAACCCCAAUGUGCAUGUUUUUCAAAUGUCUCUUUGCAUCACAUUUGCUAAUGUCCAAUUGACAAAUGCAGGUCACAGGACCAAAUAGCAAUGGGAGGAAAUUCAAAGAAAUUGUGGCUUUUCUUUUCUUUUCCCUUGCAAAUCUACUACAGUCUUUUCAGGUCCAUAAAAAAUCUCAUCUUAUUAUGGCAGCUGACUUGAUGGCCAUGAUUUUAUUCUCCAAAUCAGGUCCAACUGCAGAUGAGGUUUCACUCUUCAAGUGCAACACCUCUUGAUCUGGAAACCUAUAAACAAAAAAGACAAGCUAUCGCCAUCCCCUCUCCCCGCUUAUAAAUACCUUCCUUCAAUGCGAUACAGGGAAAGGAUGAGCCAAACCAACACUCUCAUUUAUAGAGAGGAGGCAAAGAGAAGUCACUGGGUCAUAGCAAUUCUGAAAUUUAACUAGGCAUGUGUUGCCAAGACCCCGUGCCUGGAGGCAGCAAAUGUUCUUAAUUAGGAUAUGGUUCUACUGCCUGAGAGUAGUUCACCAGUCCAUUGUCUUAUAUGAAUUCCUGUGAGAAAAUGUAAGAUACAUUAGAAAAGGGCUUAACACUUAGAUUAUAUAUAAGUCACAGAUAGUUAAUAUUAAAUGUCUAUUCUGCAGACACAUAGUAUUCUAGAAGGUCACAGGUAUAGGGCAGAUUAGGAUUUGAUACCAUCUUUGUAAUCUCUCCAGUGGAUGAGGUAACCUAAAAGGUGUGAACACUUUCCAUCCUGAGCUUUUGAUUAAAACCUGGUAGGCCUGGCCUGUAUAGGUUGGUGCAUGACUUUGGUUUUCAACAAUAUAGUAUCUUCAUACUGCAAAAAGGGCUAAUUAAAUGAUCCUUGUAUUUUGAGUUGUAGUAAGAUGCCCUAAUACAGUGGCUCUCAGGGAUACACCUUCCCCAAGGGUCAUUUGGAAAUAUGGGGGAGACAUUUUGAUUCUCACAGUGUUUGAGGGCUGUAAUUGCCAUUAGUUAGGUAAGUGUCAAGGAUUCUCUAUGAACUGCAAUGUGCGGGAUGAUCUUGCACAGUGAAUAAUUGAUGCAUGAUUGCCAUGACUUUUAAAUGUCCCAGAAGACAGCAGUGUAGGUGAAAAACCUGUUUGCAGUUAUCUAAGCUUAAAGCCUAACUCGAUUUUCAUAUAAACACCGACUAUUUUGGAUACAGUUUAAAUGUAUACUGAAUUUUCCACGAGUGCAACUACCAUGUGAGUGGAGGGAAGAUUAUACUUGGCUUUGUUGGGAACUUAACCAAGAGUUGUUAGCCACUUCAGAAAACUGUAUCACUGGCAACGAUAUUGCUUGGGGCACUUGAGCUGCCAACACUGCACCUCUGUCUGUUGGCAUUUUUAGCUGUUGCAAUCAUAGUAAUUCUACAUAUAGGCACAAACAUCUGACUUCUUCUUUCUAUCUUCUAAUGAAGUCAUGUCUGAGCUUCUCCAUAUUGAUAUAUGUUGUUUUAUUAUACAUUAUGUUCCUUUUAUUUCUUAUUUAAAUUACAGUUAUGGCAUUAUAUUGAUUUUUAAAACAUUAUGUUUGAAGGUAAGAUAUACCAUCUGUGAUUUUAAUCUCAAGAUAAUAAAGAAGGUAUUAUAUAAUAUGUGUUCUAAAAAGGUCUGAUAGGGUUUAGAAGCACUACCCUAAUACAAGCUUAUCAGGAUAGAAUAUUUUUCAGAGGCCUGAGGAGUACAGGGUAAACAUGAGCAAGGCUAAUCCAUUACCUGAAGUCAUGCUCUGGGUCAUUGGUAAAAGAAAGAUGGAUUCGAUGUUGGAAAAUAGAUUCUGUAUCUUAUAUGCUUAGAAACCAGAUGAGACUGACAGGUUUUGACAGCUCACUAAUAAAGAAUGUGAUUUUCUUUUUCAUGACUGUAGAAAAACAUUGCUUAUUAGUUUUUAUUUUGACAUGUGCUAAAAUUUAGCUACAUAUUUAUGACUUCCUCAGAUUAUUCCAGUCAAUGGCCUUGGGUUCUGAACGUAUGAAGACACUGUCCUAUGCUCAGUGCCUCACGCUCUGGCUCUGGGCUUAGGCUUGGUUGGGAGGGUUGAACGGUGGUCUUGUCCCAGAUGCCGAUUCUCAACCUCUUGCUUCCAACCAGAAGAAGCUGCGACUCCCAGAUGGCCUCUCCCAGGGUUCAGACAGAUAGCCCAGAAAAGGUAACUCUGGCUCUGAAACUGGCUUGCCUCCAGUCCUGGCCAACAUCUUGUUUCCUGGGUUUGACCCACAGUUUGGCCAUAUCAACUCUACUGAGGCUUGCCUUUAUCAAACUAUAGCCUCCUGGGCAUGUUGGUGUCACCUGCUCCAAAAAGGGUGACUUGAAUAAAUCCUCAAAGGAGACUGAUGGUCAGUGAUAUCCUUCACUUAGGCAGAAAGUAGAAAUUUGUUUAUUAUUUAGUCCUAGAAUAAUUUGUUUAUCUCAGUUUGUGAAAAUGAACCUUAAACAAUCUGGAUUUCCAAACACUUCCCUAGAAUGAUGAGUUCAAUCAUGAUGGAUGGCAACUUUUUCCUCACAAUAAAAAUGAGCUGGGCAAUCUGCUCACCCAGCCCCCUUUCAUUGGUGUGUCUCCAACGGGAACAUUUCACUCGCCUCUACUUCCAUAAUCACCCAGGCCUAGCAAAGCUGUUAAUCUUUUGUAGAUAGUAAAUCAGCUAUUUUACUUUUUUGACACCUUCCUUUUCCAUCACUGCAGCACUGAUAGAGGUCAUAAACUAACUGGUUGGCAUUUUAAAAGACCCCUUCUUUCUUCCACCCUAAAUUACGUCUUUUGGUAGGUGGAUGUAUCUUACUUGAUUAUAGAAGUUUUCUUUUUCAAAACUUGGUCAGGCAUGCUCAGUAGGUCUAUUGUAACCCAUUGUUAGCCCAGCACUCUCAUCUUGACCAUGUUAAGAUGAGCCAAAUGAUGUUUUCAAAGCCAUGGAAACAUUUAGACUUAAAAACGUGCCUUUCUUUUGGAAUGAAGAGACGAUACCCCUAACCAUUGUUGGAAGUAUUAUGGCAAAGUAUUAAAGAAAUGCUUCGCAGGCAUGGUUCUGUUCAAAGCAAUAUACAAAGAGGGGUUCCUGACCUUAAAUGCCUGUUGAUGUCACUUUCCUUGAAGGGGACCUGCCCCAGAUAGGCAAAGGAGAGAUCCACAGCAGCCAUGUCUUAUUGAGGGGCUUUCACCUCUGUCACUAGCUGAUUGACACAGCAGUGAACACCUGAUCUGAACUAAGCAAAUCAGAUUCUCUCUGGAAUCUCCAAUUUGGAAUUUUGAACCAAAACUCACAAAGAUGGGAUUACUCAGGGCUGAUGCACGUCAAAGGCAGCACGCUAGAGAGAAAGUCCACAGAUUCCUGCUGCUGAGGUUUCAGCCAGCAGACUUGGCUGUUCCCCUCAUCCUCAGAUUGGGAGCUGCCUCAGCGUCCUUUCAUCAACUGACAUGUUGGGAUUUGUCCAGUGGAGAAGGACCAUAUGGCAAGAAAUUGAGGGAAGUCUUCAAACAGUGCAGUGAAAAAUUAAGGCCUUCAGUCCAACAGCCAUCAGGAACUGAAUCCUGCCAACAACCACAUGACUGCAGGUCUGUUGGAGUUUGCUGGAGGUCCACUCCAGAC